AACGCGAAGAACCUUACCCAGACUUGACAUGCAGUAGACCGGUCCAGAAAUGGGCCUUUCCUUCGGGACUGCUGCACAGGUGCUGCAUGGCUGUCGUCAGCUCGUGCCGUGAGGUGUUGGGUUAAGUCCCGCAACGAGCGCAACCCUUAUCAUUAGUUGCCAACAUUUAAGGUGGGAACUCUAAUGAGACUGCCUGGGUUAACCAGGAGGAAGGUGAGGAUGACGUCAAGUCCGCAUGGCCCUUAUGUCUGGGGCUACACACGUGCUACAAUGGUCGGUACAGAAGGCAGCGAAACCGUGAGGUGAAGCAAAUCCCAAAAACCGGCCUCAGUUCAGAUUGUAGUCUGCAACUCGACUACAUGAAGACGGAAUUGCUAGUAAUGGCGAGUCAGCAACAUCGCCGUGAAUACGUUCCCGGGCCUUGUACACACCGCGUGUCU
rnacentral:rRNA from 1 species